CCUACGGGAGUCAGCAGUGGGGAAUAUUGCACAAUGGGGGAAACCCUGAUGCAGCGACGCCGCGUGAGUGCAGAAGUAUUUCGGUAUGUAAAGCUCUGUCAGCAGGGACGAAAAUGACGGUACCUGACCAAGAAGCCCCGGCUAACUACUGGCCAGCAGCCGCGGUAAUACGUAGGGGGCAAGCGUUAUCCGGAUUUACUGGGUGGAAAGGGAGCGUAGACGGCAGGGCAAGUCUGGAGUGAAAGGCGGGGGCUCAACCCCCGGACUGCUCUGGAAACUGCAAGGCUGGAGUGCAGGAGAGGUAAGUGGAAUUCCUAGUGUAGCGGUGAAAUGCGUAGAUAUUAGGAGGAACACCAGUGGCGAAGGCGGCUUACUGGACUGUAACUGACGUUGAGGCUCGAAAGCGUGGGGAGCAAACAGGAUUAGAUACCCCAGUAGUC
rnacentral:rRNA from 1 species